rnacentral:rRNA from 1 species
GACGAACGCUGGCGGCGUGCUUAACACAUGCAAGUCGAACGGAAAGGCCCUGCUUUUGUGGGGUGCUCGAGUGGCGAAAGGGUGAGUAACACGUGAGUAACCUGCCCUUGACUUUGGGAUAACUUCAGGAAACUGGGGCUAAUACCGGAUAGGAGCUCCUGCUGCAUGGUGGGGGUUGGAAAGUUUCGGCGGUUGGGGAUGGACUCGCGGCUUAUCAGCUUGUUGGUGGGGUAGUGGCUUACCAAGGGUUUGACGGGUAGCCGGCCUGGGAGGGUGACCGGCGACAUGGCGACUGAGAUACGGCCCAGACUCCUACGGGAGGCAGCAGUGGGGAAUAUUGCACAAUGGGCGGAAGCCUGAUGCAGCAACGCCGCGUGCGGGAUGACGGCCUUCGGGUUGUAAACCGCUUUCGCCUGUGACGAAGCGUGAGUGACGGUAAUGGGUAAAGAAGCACCGGCUAACUACGUG